AAUCAACGCUGGCGGCGUGCCUCAGACAUGCAAGUCGAACGCGAACAUUUUCUUCGGAAGAUAAGUAGAGUGGCGCACGGGUGAGUAAUACGUAAGUUAUCUACCUUUAGGUUAGGGAUACCAAUCGGAAACGAUUGCUAAUACCUAAUGAUACAACUUCCUAUCAAUAGUAGUUGUUAAAGCGAGGGGUAACUCUCGCGCCAAAAGAGGAGCUUACGGCAGAUUAGCUUGUUGGUAAGGAAUGGCUUACCAAGGCAACGAUCUGUAGCCGGCCUGAGAGGGCGGUCGGCCACACUGACACUGAAUAACGGGUCAGACUCCUACGGGAGGCAGCAGUCGGGAAUUUUGGGCAAUGGGCGAAAGCCUGACCCAGCAACGCCGCGUGAAGGAUGACGUCUUUC
rnacentral:rRNA from 1 species